UACGGGGGGAGCAAGCGUUGUUCGGAUUUACUGGGCGUAAAGGGCGCGUAGGCGGUCAGCACAAGUCAGUUGUGAAAUCUCCGAGCUUAACUCGGAAAGGUCAACUGAUACUGUGCGGCUAGAGUGCAGAAGGGGCAACUGGAAUUCUUGGUGUAGCGGUGAAAUGCGUAGAUAUCAAGAGGAACACCUGCGGCGAAGGCGGGUUGCUGGGCUGACACUGACGCUGAAGCGCGAAAGCUAGGGGAGCGAACGGG
rnacentral:rRNA from 1 species